rnacentral:rRNA from 1 species
GACGAACGCUGGCGGCGUGCUUAACACAUGCGAGUCGAACGGAAAGGCUCCAGCUUGCUGGAGUACUCGAGUGGCGAACGGGUGAGUAACACGUGGGUAAUCUGCCCUGCACUCUGGGAUAAGCCUGGGAAACUGGGUCUAAUACUGGAUAUGACCUUUCUCCUUAUGGGGUUUGGUGGAAAGUUUUUCGGUGUAGGAUGAGCCCGCGGCCUAUCAGCUUGUUGGUGGGGUGAUGGCCUACCAAGGCGACGACGGGUAGCCGGCCUGAGAGGGUGAUCGGCCACAUUGGGACUGAGAUACGGCCCAGACUCCUACGGGGGGCAGCAGUGGGGAAUAUUGCACAAUGGGCGGAAGCCUGAUGCAGCGACGCCGCGUGAGGGAUGACGGCCUUCGGGUUGUAAACCUCUUUCAGCAGGGACGAAGCGUAAGUGACGGUACCUGCAGAAGAAGCACCGGCUAACUACGUG